AUUUGUAGGGGCUGACUUUGACUUAGCAGAUGCCUUUCGUGAUGGAGGAAAUAACGACCCAGCACCUCUUAAUUCACCCAAGCUGAAGCCAAAUGCGAACCCUGAGCAGCCUGGAUUCAUUGACGAGCCAGCACCACUGAACCCACCCAAACCAAAGCCAAAUCCAAACCCCAAGCAGCCUGAUUCCACCGGGGAUGACUUUGAUUUCACAGAUGUUUCUUCAUGGUGAACGAAACAGGGAGUUGCCUCGAUUCUGAUGUGUUUGCUUCGGUGCUCUGUGUAUUGUAUUCAUCCCACUCUUCAAUUCAUAAACUCUGGAGAUUCUUCAAUUCACUGGGCAAACCAUAUGCCUAAGUCUAUCCUCUGAUGGAGGCUCGUACAUGCAAAAUCCAAUAGCAACCUGGGAAGAUUUCAGUCAAGACCCAAGAGGAGGCUGGCAUCAGGCUCUCGGUCACCGAUCUUCACAUUCAGGUUUCCUGAUGCACUUUGCGACUCUUUGGGCAACCUCUGGACUCCUUGUUCCCAGGGUCCACAUUUAGUUUUAUCUUUACUGCAUUGCUUUUAUGAAAAAGAAUAAAAUUGGAUGAAACAGAUACAGAGUAUUGGUGUCAACCUAAGUAUUGGUGUCAACAAAGAGAUGGUUUGGAUCUGGUUCCCCACCACAUCUUAGGUUGAGUUGGAAUCCCCGGUUUGGAGGUGGCGCCUGGUGGGAGGUGACUGCAUUAUGCGGGUGGUUUCCAUUGAAUGGUUUACCACUGUCCCCCAUGGUGCUGUUGUGGCGGAAGUGAGUUAUCAUCCAAUCUGGUUGUUUAAAGGGUGCAACAACUUCCCCACCCCGUCCUGCUCCUGCUGUGGCCAUGUAAGAUGUGCCUGUUUCCCCUCUGCCUUCCGCCAUGAUUGUAAAUUUCCUGAGGCCUCCCCAGCCGUGCUUCCUGUACUGCCUGUGGAACCGUGAGCC
rnacentral:lncRNA from 1 species